UCCCUGGAGGACUAGUGGUUAGGCCAUAGCAAUCUCAGCGCUGCGGCCUGGGUUCGAUUCCCGGCCAGGGGA
rnacentral:tRNA from 1 species